rnacentral:rRNA from 1 species
CCUACGGGAGGCAGCAGUGGGGAAUAUUGCACAAUGGGGGAAACCCUGAUGCAGCGACGCCGCGUGAAGGAAGAAGUAUUUCGGUAUGUAAACUUCUAUCAGCAGGGAAGAAAAUGACGGUACCUGACGAAGAAGCCCCGGCGAACGACGUGCCAGCAGCCGCGGGAAUACGGAGGGGGCAAGCGUUAGCCGGAUUUACUGGGUGUAAAGGGAGCGUAGGCGGUAAUGCAAGUCAGAAGGGAAAGCCCGGGGCUCAACUCCGGGACUGCUUUUGAAACUGUGUUGCUAGAUUGCAGGAGAGGUAAGUGGAAUUCCUAGUGUAGCGGUGAAAUGCGUAGAUAUUAGGAGGAACACCAGUGGCGAAGGCGGCUUACUGGACUGUAAAUGACGCUGAGGCUCGAAAGCGUGGGGAGCAAACAGGAUUAGAUACCCGGGUAGUC